CCUACGGGGGGCAGCAGUGGGGAAUAUUGCGCAAUGGGGGAAACCCUGACGCAGCAACGCCGCGUGAAGGAUGAAGGUUUUCGGAUUGUAAACUUCUUUGAUGAGGGACGAUAAUGACGGUACCUCAAAAACAAGCCACGGCUAACUACGUGCCAGCAGCCGCGGUAAUACGUAGGUGGCAAGCGUUGUCCGGAUUUACUGGGUGUAAAGGGCGUGUAGGCGGGGAUGCAAGUCAGAUGUGAAAUUCCGGGGCUCAACCCCGGCGCUGCAUCUGAAACUGUAUCUCUUGAGUGCUGGAGAG
rnacentral:rRNA from 1 species